rnacentral:rRNA from 1 species
CAGCAGCCACGGGAAUACAGAGGGUGCAAGCGUUAAUCGGAAUUACUGGGCGUAAAGCGCGCGUAGGUGGUUUGUUAAGUUGGAUGUAAAAGCCCCGGGCUCAACCUGGGAACUGCAUCCAAAACUGGCAAGCUAGAGUACGGUAGAGGGUGGUGGAAUUUCCUGUGUAGCGGUGAAAUGCGUAGAUAUAGGAAUGAACACCAGUGGCGAAGGCGACCACCUGGACUGAUACUGACACUGAGGUGCGAAAGCGUGGGGAGCAAACAGGAUUAGAUACCCGCGUAGUCCCUGUCUCUUAUAC